CUCAGAGAACGAGGAGGAGGAAUGUGUGGACGUGGCCACCGAGGAGGCUGCUCUCACCAGCCGGGGUCUCCUCCCCCCACAGACACUGUCCCAGUUCCUGACCUUCUUGUAGGAGCUCAUUGAGGAGCUGCCUGAUAUCUCUCCACCCAGCGGCGUCUCGCUAACUCCCUGAUUGCUGUGGGCAACCUCAGCACCAUGAUACCUGCCCUUGAGCCAGAGCUGGAGACCCACCUCCUUCAAGCUGCCCUGCAUGCCGUCUUCACCCUGGGCACGCAGAAGGACACCACCCAAGUCCAGG